UGGGGAAUAUUGCACAAUGGGCGAAAGCCUGAUGCAGCAACGCCGCGUGAGUGAUGAAGGCCUUCGGGUUGUAAAGCUCUGUCUUCUGGGACGAUAAUGACGGUACCAGAGGAGGAAGCCACGGCUAACUACGUGCCAGCAGCCGCGGUAAUACGUAGGUGGCAAGCGUUGUCCGGAUUUACUGGGCGUAAAGGAUGCGUAGGCGGAUACUUAAGUCAGAUGUGAAAAUCCCGGGCUUAACUUGGGAACUGCAUUUGAAACUGGGUAUCUAGAGUGCGGGAGAGGAAAGUGGAAUUCCUAGUGUAGCGGUGAAAUGCGUAGAGAUUAGGAAGAACACCAGUGGCGAAGGCGACUCUCUGGACUGUAACUGACGCUGAGGCUCGAAAGCGUGGGGAGCAAACA
rnacentral:rRNA from 1 species